rnacentral:rRNA from 1 species
UGCAGUCGAGCGGUAACAGAAAGUAGCUUGCUAUUUUGCUGACGAGCGGCGGACGGGUGAGUAAUGCUUGGGAACAUACCUUGAGGUGGGGGACAACAGUUGGAAACGACUGCUAAUACCGCAUAAUGUCUACGGACCAAAGGGGGCUUAGGCUCUCGCCUUUAGAUUGGCCCAAGUGGGAUUAGCUAGUUGGUGAGGUAAUGGCUCACCAAGGCAACGAUCCCUAGCUGGUUUGAGAGGAUGAUCAGCCACACUGGAACUGAGACACGGUCCAGACUCCUACGGGAGGCAGCAGUGGGGAAUAUUGCACAAUGGGCGAAAGCCUGAUGCAGCCAUGCCGCGUGUGUGAAGAAGGCCUUCGGGUUGUAAAGCACUUUCAGUCAGGAGGAAAGGGUGUGAGUUAAUACCUCACAUCUGUGACGUUACUGACAGAAGAAGCACCGGCUAACUCCGUGCCAGCAGCCGCGGUAAUACGGAGGGUGCGAGCGUUAAUCGGAAUUACUGGGCGUAAAGCGUACGCAGGCGGUUUGUUAAGCGAGAUGUGAAAGCCCCGGGCUCAACCUGGGAACUGCAUUUCGAACUGGCAAACUAGAGUGUGAUAGAGGGUGGUAGAAUUUCAGGUGUAGCGGUGAAAUGCGUAGAGAUCUGAAGGAAUACCGAUGGCGAAGGCAGCCACCUGGGUCAACACUGACGCUCAUGUACGAAAGCGUGGGGGAGCAAACGGGAUUAGAUACCCCGGUAGUCCACGCCGUAAACGAUGUCUACUAGAAGCUCGGAACCUCGGUUCUGUUUUUCAAAGCUAACGCAUUAAGUAGACCGCCUGGGGAGUACGGCCGCAAGGUUAAACUCAAUUGAUUUGACGGGGGCCCCGCACAAGCGGUGGAGCAUGUGUUUAUUCGAUGCACGCGAAGAACCUUACCUACACUUGACAUACAGAGAACUUUCUAGAGAUAGAUUGGUGCCUUCGGGAACUCUGAUACGGGUGCUGCAUGGCUUCGCAACUCGUGUGUGGAAAUGUUGGGUUAGUCCCGCAACGGACGCACCCCUAUUCUUAAGUUGUAACAAGUAAUGCUGGAAACUCUAAGGAGAACUGCCGGGGAUAACCCGGAGAAA